rnacentral:rRNA from 1 species
UACGGAGGGGGCGAGCGUUACCCGGAUUUACUGGGCGUAAAGGGCGUGUAGGCGGUCUUUCAAGUCCGAUGCUAAAGACCGGGGCUCAACCCCGGGGGUGCGUUGGAUACUGUGAGGCUAGACGGGCGGGGGGGGUAGCGGAAUUUCCGGGGUAGCGGUGAAAUGCGCAGAUACCGGAAGGAACGCCGAUAGCGAAGGCAGCUACCUGGACGAUUGGCGACGCUGGGGGGCGAAAGCGUGGGGAGCAAACCGG